CAGCGCGGUGGACUGGGAGUUCUUCACGGUCGGAGAGGAGAAGUUUCUGAUCGUGGCGAACUCUCACGACGGCAGCUCGUACUCUCUGAACAGCGUCAUCUACAGGUGGCAGGGCUACGAGGGCUUCGUCCCGGCUCACAGUCUGCCCACCGUCGGCUGCAGAGACUGGGAGCACUUCAGCACCGAGGAGGGCUCCUUCCUGGUUUACUCCAGCGCCACCUCGCGCCUCAGCAAGGUGCUCAAACUCAGGACCUUCUGAGAGGAGACACUGAUGCACAACUGGUGCUAAACUGAAGAGAAUCUGGAGCAGGACUCCAGCGGCUUCUGCACUCUAAAUCUUCAGACCUUCCUCCCUCUCUCAGAUCGAGCUGAGAUGUCGCUCCGUCCUCUUCUGCAUUUAUCUGCAGCACUUUCUAAAAACAUGCUAUUGCAAAGUCUUGUUAAGCUCAGCUGAUAACGACAGCGCCCUCUAGUGUCUCAUAUCACACUGUAAACUGGAAGAAAUAUCAAACAUCUGUACUUUUUAAAUAAUGUUAAUAACUUAUAAGCUAUAACACAUGUUUUCCACCUGCUAUACAUAUAUAUAAUAUACAUAUAAUAUAUGACUGGUAUGUUUCUGUGAGAGGCGCUUCUCAAUAAACACGGUGUGCCUCGUCUCCUGGAGAGUUCACACUGAAUACUUAA